rnacentral:tRNA from 1 species
GCUGUGAUGGCCGAGUGGUUAAGGCGUUGGACUUGAAAUCCAAUGGGGUGGUGCAACUCUUUUGUAGCU